rnacentral:rRNA from 1 species
GUCCAUGCCUUAAACGAUGCAUACUAGGUGUAGGAGGGCUCAACCCCCCUGUACCGGAGCUAACGCAUUAAGUAUGCCGCCUGGGGAGUACGCUCGCAAGGGUGAAACUCAAAAGAAUUGACGGGGGCCCGCACAAGCAGUGGAGCAUGUGGUUUAAUUCGAUGCAACGCGAAGAACCUUACCUGGGCUCGAAAUGUAGAGGACGACAACAGAGAUGUUGUUUCUCGAAAGGGUCUCUAUAUAGGUGCUGCAUGGCUGUCGU